UCAAGCAGCCUUCCAGUCAUCAGAUCACUUCUGGUGAAGGUUAAUGUUUAGAGGAUGUGAAUCAAGCAGCCUUCCAGUCAUCAGAUCACUUCUGGUGAAGGUUAAUGUUUAGAGGAUGUGAAUCAAGCAGCCUUCCAGUCAUUAGAUCACUUCUGGUGAAGGUUAAUGUUUAGAGGAUGUGAAUCAAGCAGCCUUCCAGUCAUCAGAUCACUUCUGGUGAAGGUUAAUGUUUAGAGGAUGUGAAUCAAGCAGCCUUCCAGUCAUCAGAUCACUUCUAGUGAAGGUUAAUGUUUAGAGGAUGUGAAUCAAGCAGCCUUCCAGUCAUCAGAUCACUUCUGGUGAAGGUUCAUGUUUAGAGGAUGUGAAUCAAGCAGCCUUCCAGUCAUCAGAUCACUUCUGGUGAAGGUUCAUGUUUAGAGGAUGUGAAUCACGCAGCCUUCCAGUCAUCAGAACACUUCUGGUGAAGGUUAAUGUUUAGAGGAUGUGAAUCAAGCAGCCUUCCAGUCAUCAGAUCACUUCUGGUGAAGGUUAAUGUUUAGAGGAUGUGAAUCAAGCAGCCUUCCAGUCAUCAGAUCACUUCUGGUGAAGGUUAAUGUUUAGAGGAUGUGAAUCAAGCAGCCUUCCAGUCAUCAGAUCACUUCUGGUGAAGGUUAAUGUUUAGAGGAUGUGAAUCAAGCAGCCUUCCAGUCAUCAGAUCACUUCUGGUGAAGGUUAAUGUUUAGAGGAUGUGAAUCAAGCAGCCUUCCAGUCAUCAGAUCACUUCUGGUGAAGGUUCAUGUUUAGAGGAUGUGAAUCAAGCAGCCUUCCAGUCAUCAGAUCACUUCUGGUGAAGGUUCAUGUUUAGAGGAUGUGAAUCAAGCAGCCUUCCAGUCAUCAGAUCACUUCUGGUGAAGGUUAAUGUUUAGAGGAUGUGAAUCAAGCAGCCUUCCAGUCAUCAGAUCACUUCUGGUGAAGGUUCAUGUUUAGAGGAUGUGAAUCAAGCAGCCUUCCAGUCAUCAGAUCACUUCUGGUGAAGGUUAAUGUUUAGAGGAUGUGAAUCAAGCAGCCUUCCAGUCAUCAGAUCACUUCUGGUGAAGGUUAAUGUUUAGAGGAUGUGAAUCAAGCAGCCUUCCAGUCAUCAGAACACUUCUGGUGAAGGUUAAUGUUUAGAGGAUGUGAAUCAAGCAGCCUUCCAGUCAUCAGAUCACUUCUGGUGAAGGUUAAUGUUUAGAGGAUGUGAAUCAAGCAGCCUUCCAGUCAUCAGAUCACUUCUGGUGAAGGUUAAUGUUUAGAGGAUGUGAAUGAAGCAGCCUUCCAGUCAUCAGAUCACUUCUGGUGAAGGUUAAUGUUUAGAGGAUGUGAAUCAAGCAGCCUUCCAGUCAUCAGAUCACUUCUGGUGAAGGUUAAUGUUUAGAGGAUGUGAAUCAAGCAGCCUUCCAGUCAUCAGAUCACUUCUGGUGAAGGUUAAUGUUUAGAGGAUGUGAAUCAAGCAGCCUUCCAGUCAUCAGAUCACUUCUGGUGAAGGUUAAUGUUUAGAGGAUGUGAAUCAAGCAGCCUUCCAGUCAUCAGAUCACUUCUGGUGAAGGUUCAUGUUUAGAGGAUGUGAAUCAAGCAGCCUUCCAGUCAUCAGAUCACUUCUGGUGAAGGUUCAUGUUUAGAGGAUGUGAAUCAAGCAGCCUUCCAGUCAUCAGAUCACUUCUGGUGAAGGUUCAUGUUUAGAGGAUGUGAAUCAAGCAGCCUUCCAGUCAUCAGAUCACUUCUGGUGAAGGUUAAUGUUUAGAGGAUGUGAAUCAAGC